CAGUAGCCACGGUAACACGGAGGGGGCUAGCGUUGUUCGGAAUUACUGGGCGUAAAGCGCACGUAGGCGGCUUGGUAAGUUAGAGGUGAAAGCCCGGAGCUCAACUCCGGAAUUGCCUUUAAGACUGCCGAGCUAGUAGGUGAGAGAGGUAAGUGGAAUUCCGAGUGUAGAGGUGAAAUUCGUAGAUAUUCGGAAGAACACCAGUGGCGAAGGCGGCUUACUGGCUCAUUCUAGACGCUGAGGUGCGAAAGCGUGGGGAGCAAACAGGAUUAGAUACCCCCGUAGUCCCUGUCUCUUAUAC
rnacentral:rRNA from 1 species